CUGAAACGAAAGAGCUGGUUCCAAAUUGGCCCUUGAAGUUCUAGCAUGAGUUUGUGUUUCAUGCAUCUUUCUAGGGUUUCUCUGGAACAUAAAUGGCAGUAAUGUUGUGCCUCAACUAUGAAGAAGCUUUAGUGGAGUUUUAGAUGUCUUUCUAUGGAUACUUUGAAAUUAUAUAGAGAACAGAGGUGGAUCUGUGACAAGGCUUCAAUGGAGGUCAGGAAAUCGUUUUAGGGUUUCUCAGUAGCAAAAAAGGUCCAAGAAAUUAUCGAAAACUCCAAACAAACCACCCACAAGAUGAUGUACUUACGUGCAUAUUUUUUGUGAACGACACAAUGUUGAUCGAUGAGACCGAAAACUAUGUCAAUACAAAAUUAGAACUUUG
rnacentral:lncRNA from 1 species